UUACCUUUGAUUAUUCUGGAGUUGUUAUCAAUAGAACUUCACCUUAAAACCAUGUCUGGAGUCAAAGGAGGACAACAGAAGAAAUGCCCCGAGCCCUGUCCGGAGCCAUGCCCUCCACCCCAGCAAUGCCAGGAUCCUUGCAAGCCGGUGUGCCCAGAACCAGAGCAAAAAUGCCCACCACCACCACAAGAGCCGUGUAAGCCAAUUCCACAGUGUCCUCAGGACCAGCAGUGCGUGAAGAAGUGAAGAGGAGGCGUUCGAAGCCACUGAACCGUAGACCCUCUGAAUCCCAAAAAAACAUGUGGUUUACAAACUGUAUUUAUUAAAAUCUGUGUUGCCGAUGACACAUUAUUGACUGUAAUAAAUCGCUAUAAAAGUAUAAAA